CAGGGCGUCAUAGAGGGUGAGAAUCCCGUACGUGGCCGGCGGUCAAUCCCGUGUGAAACCCCUUCGACGAGUCGAGUUGUUUGGGAAUGCAGCUCAAAAUGGGUGGUAAAUUUCAUCUAAAGCUAAAUACCGGCCAGAGACCGAUAGCGCACAAGUAGAGUGAUCGAAAGAUGAAAAGCACUUUGGAAAGAGAGUUAAAAAGUACGUGAAAUUGUUGAAAGGGAAGCGCUUGCAACCAGACUUGCUCGCGGGUGAUCAGCCUCCCUUUGGGGGGGUGCACUCACCCGUGAUCAGGCCAGCAUCGGUUUUGGCGGGUGGAUAAAGUCCCCGGGAAUGUGGCUCCCCUCGGGGAGUGUUAUAGCCUGGGGCGCAAUGCGCCCAGCCGGGACCGAGGACCGCGCUUCGGCUAGGAUGCUGGCGUAAUGGUUGUAAGCGACNCGUCUUGAAACACGG
rnacentral:rRNA from 1 species